rnacentral:rRNA from 1 species
CGGACGGGUGAGUAACGCGUGGGUAACCUGCCCUGUACAGGGGGAUAACAGUCAGAAAUGACUGCUAAUACCGCAUAAGACCACAGCACCGCAUGGUGCAGGGGUGAAAACUCCGGUGGUACAGGAUGGACCCGCGUCUGAUUAGCUGGUUGGUGAGGUAACGGCUCACCAAGGCGACGAUCAGUAGCCGGCUUGAGAGAGUGAACGGCCACAUUGGGACUGAGACACGGCCCAAACUCCUACGGGAGGCAGCAUG